GGCUCAGGAUGAACGCUAGCGACAGGCCUAACACAUGCAAGUCGAGGGGCAGCGCGGGAGAAGCUUGCUUUCCUGGCGGCGACCGGCGCACGGGUGCGUAACAGGUGUGCAAUCUGUCCAUAGUCGGGGGAUAGCCCAGCGAAAGCUGAAUUAACACUCCAUGUGAAUCGAAGCCGCAUGACUUUGAUUUGAAACGCAAGGACUAUGGGUGAGCACGCUUCUGAUUAGCUAGUUGGUGGGGUAACGGCUCACCAAGGCGACGAUCAGUAGGGGUUCUGAGAGGAAGGUCCCCCACAUUGGAACUGAGACACGGUCCAAACUCCUACGGGAGGCAGCAGUGAGGAAUAUUGGUCAAUGGGCGAGAGCCUGAACCAGCCAAGUCGCGUGAAGGGAUGAAGGUUCUAUGGAUUGUAAACUUCUUUUGUCCGAGGGUAAAAAGGCCACGUGUGGCUUCUUGCAAGUAUCGGACGAAUAAGCAUCGGCUAACUCCGUGCCAGCAGCCGC
rnacentral:rRNA from 1 species